rnacentral:rRNA from 1 species
GACGAACGCUGGCGGCGUGCUUAACACAUGCAAGUCGAGCGGUAAGGCCCUUUCGGGGGUACACGAGCGGCGAACGGGUGAGUAACACGUGGGUGACCUGCCCUCAGCUCUGGGAUAAGCCUGGGAAACUGGGUCUAAUACUGGAUAUGACUCCACGGUGCAUGUCGUGGGGUGGAAAGCCUUGUGCGGCUGAGGAUGGGCCCGCGGCCUAUCAGCUUGUUGGUGGGGUGANGGCCUACCAAGGCGACGACGGGUAGCCGGCCUGAGAGGGCGACCGGCCACACUGGGACUGAGACACGGCCCAGACUCCUACGGGAGGCAGCAGUGGGGAAUCUUGCGCAAAUGGGCGAAAAGCCUGACGCAGCGACGCCGCGUGAGGGAUGACGGCCUGGUGUAAC